rnacentral:rRNA from 1 species
GGCGAACGGGUGAGUAACACGUGGGCAACCUGCCCCUGGCUCUGGGAUAACUCCAAGAAAUUGGGGCUAAUACCGGAUAUGACCGCUGACCGCAUGGUCUGGUGGUGGAAAGAUUUAUCGGCUGGGGAUGGGCCCGCGGCCUAUCAGCUUGUUGGUGGGGUAGUGGCCUACCAAGGCGACGACGGGUAGCCGGCCUGAGAGGGUGACCGGCCACACUGGGACUGAGACACGGCCCAGACUCCUACGGGAGGCAGCAGUGGGGAAUAUUGCGCAAUGGGCGAAAGCCUGACGCAGCGACGCCGCGUGGGGGAUGACGGCCUUCGGGUUGUAAACCUCUUUCAGCAGGGACGAAGCGAAAGUGACGGUACCUGCAGAAGAAGCACCGGCCAACUACGUGCCAGCAGCCGCGG